rnacentral:lncRNA from 1 species
GGGGUGGAGGCCCCCAGUUCCUGACCUGAGCCCUUCAGCCCUUCAGCCCCAGCAUUCACACCUGGGUCGGUGCCCUCCUGGUCCUGUCUGCAGCAGGAGCUCCUCCCUGAAGGGAAGGAAAGAGCUGAGUUAGUGUCCUGGGGCCACGGAAACAAAGUGCCACCAACGGGAGGCUUGAAAAGGCACCGUAUUCUCUCAGAGUUUUUUUUUUGGCGGGGGGGGGGGGGGGGGGGAGUGGGCAGAGGCGGGUUGCUUCUCUCUGGAGGCCCCGGGGGAGAAUGUGCUGUCUCCCAGCUUCCAUUGGCUUCCCCCCCCCCACCCCGCGAUCCCUGACCUGUGACCGCGUCUCCUGAGGCUGCCUGCACCCUCAGGGGGCCUUCUGCACCUGCGCCCCCUCCCUGUCUGUCUCCUUCGGGCACUCUGGUGGGAUUCAGGGCCCUCAGGCCUUAAUGACACCUGCAAAGAUCUUUAUUCUACAUAAGGUCACACUCUGAGGUUCCAGGUGCACGUGAAUUCUGGGGGGACAGUAUCCAGCAGUAUCCACCAUAGCAGGGGAGGGGAAUGAAAGCAGCCCCCGAGGGUGGAUGGGGCACUCAGAGUGUCCCUGAGCAGGAAUGGGCUCCAUCAGGUCCAGAGGGCAGAGGGGAGGGGAGCCCCCCACCCCACCUCCCACCUCGGACUCCCCCUCUGGAGCCCUCACCAUCCCCAUGCGCCUUCUCGCUCCUGCUUGAUUGGCGGGGGGGGGGGGGGGGGGGGGGGGGGGAUGCCAGGAUGCCGCCUUCCGAUUUAAUCAAGUUAUUAAGAAUCAAUGAUUCAGGAGCAGAGACAAGGGCUCUUCCGGAAGGUGAUGAGGACCAGCAGCAGCAGAGAACAAAGGACGAGGUGCAAAGCCGUCAGUGCUCCAAGAGGCUCCCGGGGACCUGGUCAAAGGCUGAGAUGUUUCUAGAUGACAACAGGGCAAGUGUGGCCUAAACCAGACUCUGAUGGGUGGAAAGCGGUCCUUCAUCAGGCACUUAAUUCUGUGUCUGGACCCCUGGCUCCUUCACCGCCGCAGAGGAGCCCGCAGGGCCUGGUGCUCGGGGAUCCGGGGGGAAGCCCUCGGAUCGGCCGUCACCCAGCCCCACAGGACCCAGGCUUGGGGUCCUCUCCGCCUUCGCUUCACGUCAUUAUUAAGAGAUGAUGCAGGUCUUGGAGCACGAACCCUUUGGCUCUGGAAAAAUUAUGUGUGACACUUUACAUAUGGAUCAGGUAAUUAAUGGAUGCCCCGAUUUCCUCCACCAGAACAUAAAGCGGGUGAGGACGGCGCUCUAAUUCCAGAUAAUUAAAGAGCGAGCGAGUCGGCUGGCGCUGCUCGGGGAGGGGGGCUGCUGUCAUUAACACAGCCUCCUCCCCUCCGUCUCCACACCUCACUGCAAACCGCGGGCUCCCCGGGGGCGACGCGCUCCCAGCGCCCAGGCGCCCGCCCGCCACGUAAUUGAAGUGGCCCCGUGUGCCGCACCA